UACGUAGGGUGCGAGCGUUAAUCGGAAUUACUGGGCGUAAAGCGUGCGCAGGCGGUUCGUUAUGUCGGCGGUGAAAGCCCCGGGCUUAACCUGGGAAUGGCCGUUGAAACUGGCGAACUGGAGUGUGGCAGAGGGGGGUGGAAUUCCGCGUGUAGCAGUGAAAUGCGUAGAGAUGCGGAGGAACACCGAUGGCGAAGGCAGCCCCCUGGGCUAACACUGACGCUCAGGCACGAAAGCGUGGGGAGCAAACAGG
rnacentral:rRNA from 1 species